AUGGGAUACUACGUUGCUGGGGAAUAGGAGGAGAUGGAUGGUAGUCGGGGGGAUAGGGGUGAAAAUCGUAGUAAUCCUUCAGGGAGCGCCGGUGGCGAAGGUGUCUUCCCCGACCAGGUCCGACGGUGAGGGACGAAAGCUAGGGGCACGAACCGGGUUAGAUACCGGGGGAGUCCUAGCAGUAAAAGAUGCCCGCUGGGGGUCACGGCGGUCGUGGAUCGCCAUAGUCCUGUAGGGAAGCCGCGAAGCGGGCCACUUGGGAAGUACAGACCGCAAGGUUGAAACUUAAAAGAAUUGGCGGGGGAGCACCACAACGGGUGGAGCCUGCGGGUUAAUUGGAUUCAACUCGGGGAAGCUCUGCCGGGAUAGACAGUUGGAUGAAGGCCAGGAUGAAGACCUUGCCGGACUAGCUCGGAGGAGGUGCAUGGCCGUCGUCAGUUUGUACCGUGAGGAGUCCAGUUUAGUCAGGCAACCAGCGAGACCCAUGUGCCCUGUUACUAACGCACCCUAACGUGGUGACGACUACGCCGUCAGGCCGCUGGCGGUAAGUCAGAGGAAGGUUAGGUAGAGAGU
rnacentral:rRNA from 1 species